UGUUCCUUUAAAGUUAAGCAUGGGUUGUAUAUGAAUAUAUGUUGAGUAUGUAUACGGUUGGCUAUGGUUUUAUAUGUGAACAUUGACUUAGUAUGUUAUAUUGUAAUGGUAAAUUUCCUUAUCUAUGGUAACCCUUAGGAACACUUAGGUGUAUAUGAAGAGAUUGUAUGGGCGGUCACUUCAUGUUUCACUUAAGUGUGGCUUUGGGUAACUUGAGAUAGAGGUCAAGAAAUGAUGAAAAGGCUUACUUGUCAAUUAUGUUCAUGUGUUGUACAUUGGUACUAGUUGUGCAUGAUGACUUGUGAUAUGAAGCAUGAUAAGUGGUAAGUUCACAUUUGGUGGCCUUAGGAUGAUGCUUUAGUGUGGAUGGUGGUAUGGGACGCUAUCCAUACAUUGCACAAAGUGUUGUCCAAGGGUUACUUGAGGUGGAUGGUUUAAGGUGAAGGAAUGGGUUAUGUGUGGAGUAUGUGCUAAAGUGGUUAAUGACUUGUAUGUUGGUUAUGG
rnacentral:lncRNA from 1 species